rnacentral:rRNA from 1 species
GACAGAGGGGGCAAGCGUUGCUCGGAAUUACUGGGCGUAAAGGGCGCGUAGGCGGGAUGGCAAGUCGGUCGUGAAAUCCCUCGGCUCAACCGAGGAACGUCGAUCGAUACUGCUGUUCUUGAGGAUUGCAGAGGAGACUGGAAUUCCCGGUGUAGCGGUGAAAUGUGUAGAGAUCGGGAGGAACACCGGUGGCGAAGGCGGGUCUCUGGGCAAUUCCUGACGCUGAGGAGCGAAAGCGUGGGGAGCGAACAGG